AUAUAAAAAAAAUAGAAUGAACAAAAGUUGUUGAAACGUUGGCCUUACAUAAGUCAUGUCCUUUUGACCUGUAAAAAAUCAUUCGUUUAGACAUGAGCCCGUUACAACCUGAAAAGAAUGGUAGAUAAGAUUCAAACACUUUCCAUUAAAAGAGAAACAAAAAUCCUAUCUAUUUAUUAUACUAAAUGAAUUCUCUUAGGCCACAAGGACUAUUCUUAGCCAAUCAGUUUGAUGAUGUGGACAUGCUCUAAAGGCUGAAAAUUUCUUUUGAGCGGGAUUUUGAUUUCUCCCCUUUUUCAUUCACGCGGUCGUCCCUCUUCAAUCAAUCUAAUCUUCAAAAUCCGAAUUUCCUUUUUCAUUCUCCUAUUUGAUUGAAGCUUCUUCUAAUCAAGAACCCUAAAUCUCUCCGUAUUCUAAAUGGGCGAUUCCAAAGAGGAAAUAUUGAGGGUUCUGUUUUGUUUCAAAGACUGAAGACGGUAAACUGGACAGUGUUCAUCUAGAGCAAACUAUCCUUUCGAUUUCACUAUACUACUGUUUGGUUAAGAUGCUGGUUGAUAAAAUGUUGUAUUGGACAUAAGUUUGAGUGUUUAUUGAAGACGUCAAUCCAUUUUCAGUAAUCUCUAGAUGCGAAUCCUUUUGCUGCCGGACCUCAACCAUUUUCGAUCCCCUAAAUCAUUGCUCAAUCAAUCGUCUUCAUUUACAAAUUAAUUAUAGGAAUUCCAUGGACCGAACUCAUUAUCCCACUGCCAAAUGUAUAUUUCAUCUACAGCAAACUAUCCUUUCGAUUUCACUAUACCACUGUUAGGUUAAGAUGCUGACAAUGUAUGAUUUCUGAAUUGCCAACUACGGGCCAGUUCUCCGACAAAGAGUUAAGAUCCAACCAUUUGAGUUUUGUCUUAUUUUCAUACCUUUUGCUUCUGUUGGUAUAUUCGGCUGACCCUUUUAGGGGUUUCUGAAGUCGAUGAUAACGGUGACCUGUGGUGGCGGCGACUGAGGUCACAAGUGCCAUACCAGUGAGACAACAAAUCUCUCUAAUUACUCGCCUAGAACUACAAAUCUACUGAAGAAAAGAUUGAGAAUGUCACAUUUCAAGUGAAGGAAGUUCAAUAUUCAAGUAGAAGGACGUCGUAGACGCCAUUCGAGAUCUUGAUGUGUACAGAAACCAAUGUCCUCUGGUAGAGAAACCGAUCAAGACAAGCUUGAAGUCACAAAGAGGAAGCUUCAAGAACUUUUUCAACAGACGGAAAGAGCUAGAUAGCGAGAAGGUCGAUGAUCGUAGUCGGUUUUGUGCUGGUAGUGGGAAUGAUAUAUGUUGGGUCUGGGCUUGCUGCCAAGCUUGCCCGAGUUAAGGGAUAUUGACUUAACAACCCUCAGCGACCAUCAAAACUUGAAAGAUUCAUGGGCAACUGAGGUUUGUGAUUUGUUGCAGACUGAAGAAAAGAUUGAGAAUGCAACAUUUCAAGUGAAGGAAGUUCAAUAUUCAAGCACAAGGAAGCCUUAGACGCCAUUCGAGAUCUUGAUGUAUACAGAAACCAAUGUCCUCUGGUGGAGAAACCGAUCAAGACAAGCUUAAAGUCACAAAAAGGAAGCUUCAAGAACUUUUUCAACAUACAGAAAGAGCUAGAUGGUGAGAAGGUCGAUGAUCAUAGCCGGUGUUGUGCUGGUAGUGGGAAUGAUAUCUGUCGGGUCUGGGCUUGCUGCCAAGCUUGCCCGAGUUAAGUUCUUUCAUAUGGUAGUGCUCGUGAUAUGGGCAAUGAAGCUUCACUCGAGUUUUUAGAGCCCUAUAGUCGAAAUCACUCAAGCACACAAGAGCAAUUCAGCAAUCAAAUUGUUACCAUGAACACGUGCACGAAACAACUUGUGAAGUAAGUUUUUCUUUAAAUCAAUGUAGAGUGGAUGAAUUUACAUGUCUUUUUUACAUUAGUAACCUUAAUAUAUAUGAAAAAAUUCCGCCUCAUAUGACCUUGAGAUGCAAGGCGACCGAGGAUGCGGGAAUACCACACGAGGGGUGGUGAUGUGUAGUGUUUUUCAGAAGGUGGUGUUAAGACUGUGAUUUAGGCUUGAGGCGCCCACAUUGCGUGAGUUGUUAUGAAAUAGAGAUAAAAGAAAAGGGCUAGGAGAUGAGGGAACAGGUUAGGACUCACAUGAAACAUGAUGAAUAAGACUAAUGAUUGAGAAUGUUCAACAAUGACAUUGAAUAUACUGAUUCUGACUUAUUUUGAAUGGUGAAAGGAUUAAAUUUUUGUUGCAACCUUUGAUUGUGCUCUAACAGCUGAUUUUGAAAGCUAUGGUGAGGUGGAUAUUCAGGUUCAGCUAAACCUAUAAAAAAAUUUAGCUUAUAUGCUUCCUUCAUUUGGCAAAGUAAGUUACGUUUUAAUGUAACUUUUUUUUUAAUUAUUUUGGUUUGACUUUUCUAUGGUUUAGCUUUUUGGAAUCUCAAUAAGGUUGGUUAGGUCUGACAAAAAAAGAAGAAAACUGGCUAUAGUCAUUUGCCACUGGAUUAAGGAGGAGCCGGUUGACCAUCUCUUCGUGUCUUGCCACUUCCACUCAAAGUGUUUGGGAUCGGGUUGCAAGCUGGUGCCAUUUAACUGGGGUGUAUAUGUUUGAAAGCAAAGAUUUGGUCGGAUAUCAUUGCCAUGCGAGUGGGUCGACAAAAUAAAAAAAAUGGUGUACACUAUAAUGCAGACUGGAAUGUGGAGUAUAUGGCGUUUUUGAAACAACUUAGCAUUCAACCAGAAGAAUCCGAAUCUGGGGAGUGUUGUAGAGGAGCUAAAAAGGUUGGGGUACCUUGGGAUAAAAAAAAACAAUCAAAGGCGCAGGCUUUGACCUGGGAAAAAUGGAGAAUGUUUGAUUUAAAUUGUUGUGACUUUGGUUAUUUGUUCACAAUGUUUGUAUCUGGGGUGAGGGAUAAUAUGUUGUCCCAAAUUUUAUUUAAUUAAAUUUGAAGUCAUUUGCGUGGCUUUUCUCAUGAGGGGAGUUCUAUACUAUCGCCCACUAAUUUUGAUGGUUUUAUGACCCUGUAUUACUUGAGAUAUGCAUAUAACAUAUUACUUUUAUGUAUCUCAUUAACUUUUUUGGUUGAA